UUUUGUACAUGAGAGUAAAAAACUUAAUGUUUUCCAGGUUAGACACAACACAUGAUGUACUUCCCGAAGCAGUAGUGAAUGUACCCUCAAUGCUUUCAGCCAAACACUUGAAACCUCUCUCUCUAUGUUACAAUGCUCUUCUCCAGGGGCCUGCAAAAUACAAAAUGCCCUAUAUGAUCCAAUGGGAGAAGGAGCUGGGGUAUGAGAUACC